rnacentral:rRNA from 1 species
AAUGAACGUUGGCGGCGUGGAUUAGGCAUGCAAGUCGUACGAGAAUCGUAGCAAUACGAGGAAAGUGGCGGAAGGGAGAGGAUUACGUGGGAAUCUACCCUCAGAACUGGGAUAGCGGCGGGAAACUGCCGGUAAUACCAGAUAAUGUCUGUGGACCAAAGGUGUGAUUCCGUCUGGGGAUGAGCCCACGUCCUAUUAUCUAGUUGGCAGGGUAAUGGCCUACCAAGGCAAUGAUGGGUAGCGGGUGUGAGAGCAUGGCCCGCCUCACUGGGACUGAGAACUGCCCAGACACCUACGGGUGGCUGCAGUCGAGAAUCUUCGGCAAUGAGCGCAAGCUUGACCGAGCGACGCCGCGUGCGGGAUGAAGGCCUUCGGGUUGUAAACCGCUGUCGUAGGGGAGCAAGAGAUGAGGGUACUCCCUCUGAUUUGAGCGAUCCUAGGAGGAAGGACGGGCUAAGUUCGUGCCAGCCGCCGCUGUAAUAC